GAACCAACAGCCGCCGCGGCGGGAGCUGGCUCCGGUGGCCGGAGGCGGGUCUUUCCUUUCCCGCAGAUCCCGCAAACGCUCCGCUCCCUGGAGCCGCUGCCUUCAGUGCGCUCAGACCCUGGAUGUUAAGGUUCACGAGGGCGCCAGCUGGCGCCGGGAGAAGUAGCGACGCCCCCACCUAUCAUCUUCCCAAGGCAGCGCCUGGGGGCCACCAAGACCGAAGCGCAGUUGGAGCGCGAGCGCGAGCCGGAGAAGCGCGGACGCAAGCUGCCAGCGCGGGGCCCGCCGGAGCCCGAGCGGCUUCCGGCCCAAAGGGAGACGCACUUGAGUGAUCGCGAGGAGCAAACUUGGCGCUCUCGGCCCCGGGCCCCGGAGAGGUGAGAGAUUCCGGCUGCGCUCCUCUCCUCCCUUCCAAGGCCGAGACCCCGCCACACAUCCUCUUGCGGCGCCACGGGACUCCAGACGCGGGAGUGUGUGCGGGAAGACCCGGGAGCGCGUCGCCCGCCUGUCGGGCUUUCCCCGAAGCUUCUCUGCGGCGCUCUGGCCGCAUUCCGGGAGCCCGGACCGAGCCAUCGCUCUGAGUUUGCCUGUACUCCGCCCUUUUUCGUCUUUGUAUCCGUUUGUCUUGGGCUCAGUGACUCUGUGUCUCUCGCCUUCAGUGAAUCUCUGCCUCCGUUUCCAGUGGAAACCCUGCGUUUGUCUGGGUGUCUCUGGGGGUCGAGAAUCCCUCGUUCAAUUUCCCCCACCCCCCAGUCGCACUGCAGGGCUGCCCCCCCCCCCCACUUUCUGGCCGGCCCCGGACCCUUAGGCUCUACGGACCAGCAGCAGGACCCCCACAGAGACCUUCCUCAAUGAACCCUGACCUCAGCCCUGGGCCAGCGUUGCCUCAUCUCUCAGGAUCCUGUGCACACAAGCCCAGGGGAAAGCGGCGAAACCUGCGCAGCCGCCCCCACUUCCCCUUCCCCCAUCCGGCUACAGCUCUGGGGCGAGACAGUUGUUGGGCCGAAGCCGGGACGUCUCUCGAUCCCUUCCUCCACCCGGAUCUCCGCCUGCUCCAGAGCGAUUGGCUUCCCGGGCCCGGGCGGGAGGCGGGAGACUCCAGAUCCGGAGACCUGCAAGGACGAACGUCAGGCGGCGGGGCUACCCCCACACAGGAGCCGGGCUGCGGGUCAGAGUUCAGAGAGAGGUCGGACCCACUGCUUGCACAGAAAUGACCGAGCUCCCAGCGGGUGCGCCUUCACCGCCGUCGACCACCUGCCCUGCCCGCUGUUGCCCACACCUCGCGUACCCUCCACUUCUCGGAGGAAACGUCUUUCUCUCCUUUCACCCUGCCUGGCCACGGUCACCUCCCAGCACCCCUACCCUGGGACUUCGUAGUGGGGGGGCUCGCUUGAGGCCCUACGGCCUCAGCACCGCGCGGCGGCUGAGACCUGAGCGAGCUGCGGAGCCUGCGGACUCUGGUUCGUGGGAAGAGGGUUGCGGGCCCAGGGUGAAAACAGCACGGCCCCGCAGCCGCCGGACCUGGGGCUCUGGCUUCCCGGCGACCGCAUUGCCACAGGCUUCCCCCUCGCCUGAGAGACACGCAGCUGGGGGCAGGGGUCAAGGGGACGCUUCCAGGUGUGUCAGAGCGUCAGCCUCAGGGGUAAGUGCCCCUACUGUCUAAGUGCGUCCUGGGUUUCUGGGCCCGGGGGUCUGUUUUUCUGUCCGCGUGUGUGUGCCCUUCCGGACGGUGGUGGCUCUGUGUCCGACCGGCGCCUGUCCCGAGUGCUAUCCUGCCAUCCGCACGAUUGAGGGGACUGCCCUGGAAGCCUUGCGAUCCAGGCCCACAGCUCUACCCCAGAGCCCGAAGCGGCGCGACCUCGUGGGAAUUGCGAACCCACCCCAGGCCCACCGCGUGACCCUGGCGGGGAAGGAGGAUGUGUGGGUGCAAACCUGGGUACGGGUUUGGGACUACAGCCGGGAGAGAGAGGAGAGCGUACGGUCACGGCGCUGCGGAGAGCCAGGAGACUAGCGGCGGCCUCCUGCCCACCCCAUUGCACGUCGGCCGCUGGAGCAGCAAGACCUCGGACCCGGACGCAAUUCGGCAGCCCUGAAGUGGGGCAAGACUGGAGGGAAGGGAGGAGGGGGCCCAGCCGCCCGAACCCGGUGACCGACGCAACGCACACGCACACACGCCGUCGCCUUUAGCCUUUCGGAGGCCCAGAGUAGAUCAAUUCUUGGCAGCUGGGACUGCCUACCAUAACCCCAUUCCAAGCCCCCCUACAACGGGGCAGCUACCAAGAGCUGCCAAGAAGAAUGGAGGAGGACGGGAGACCUGGGAGCGCUUCCAAGGAGAGGUGGUAACUGCAGCUAGUUUUCCUCUUCCACACUAAGCAACUGGGUUCCCCACUGGAGCAAGUGACUUUCAGCCACCAGAAGCAACUCCCAGCCCAAAACAGCAUCCGAAUGCAUCCUGGCUUCCUUCCCUGGAUUUCCUGCUCCUAUCAGAUGUGCAAAAUUUCUCCCACAAUUUACCUCAACUGAAACAAAGAAAUAAACCAAGAAAAAAGAUGAGGUGGAAUCCAGGAAGCAGAGAAUCCAGCGCUGGACAGAAGGGAGGGAAUUUCAAGGAAUCCCAAGGAUAACACUGAUGAGAAAUUUCAGGUCCACAUCUGUGCAGCAGACAUGGAGAGCAGUCAGCUCAUACUGGAUCUGGAAGACAGAGAACUCUAAGAGAAAUACUCCCAGGAAAGGAAGAAUACAACCACCAACAGCAAUGACAGACUUCCUGAUAAGUUUGACCUCAUGAAAAAGUAUACCCCAAUGCUUUCGGAAAAUACAGGAAGAUUUAGCCAUAGGGACAAAGAAAGCUAGGCAAAUGAAAAAAUAAGGCAUUGACUCCAGGAAAAGUUAAAAGUUGCACCAAAAAAAAAAAAUUUGUAGUCAUGAUGCACUAGCAGCUUAUCUGAGAACAAUAUUCAUGUGGUAACAGAAUGUAAAUGCUAAAAGCUGAUGGUUUGGGCAGGGAUGGAAAGAAAUAAUGAUUUUAGAGGUAAAUGAUUAUUAUGAUAGGAAAUUAAUCAUUUCUGUUUCAAGAGAACAGAAAUGUGGAAGUAUAUUCCAAAAGAGACAAACAGGAAUUGAAAGUAAAUGCUUCUAGGGAACAAAACAGGGAUCCUGACAGUAGGCAAGGCACUCUCAUAGGCCUUUGCUAUUUGACUUGUUAGAUUAUAUGCUUGUUUCGAUUUAAUAAAAACAAAAAUUAAGUGUCAAAAAUGUGUCUUCAGAUUAAAGAUAGGUUCUAGUUUUCUACAAGGAUGAAGGGGGGAGUAUUUGCUUAAGGUUCCUAAAGGCUCUAUUCAGAUUAUUUUCCCCUAAAAGGGGGAAGAGAGAAUCAUAUUGAAAUCUUACUUCUAGAUAAGUGGUUGGCACUUGUAAAGACAAGAGUUGAAUUAGGGCUUUUGUUUUUGUUUGUUCAACAUCUACCAAGGUGUCAAAAUUCUUAGGGCAUUCUAUGACAUGUAGCAUAUUCUGUGAGGGCAUAAACAGAUUCUGUAUUGGCCUCACAGCCCAGCACAGGGCCCGGCACAUAGCAAGCCCGACACUGUUGAAUAAAGGAAAAUUAA